rnacentral:rRNA from 1 species
UACGAAGGGGGCUAGCGUUGCUCGGAAUGACUGGGCGUAAAGGGCGCGUAGGCGGCUUGUAGAGUCGGGUGUGAAAUUCCUGGGCUUAACCUGGGGGCUGCAUUCGAUACGUAUGGGCUUGAGUGCGGAAGAGGGUCGUGGAAUUCCCAGUGUAGAGGUGAAAUUCGUAGAUAUUGGGAAGAACACCGGUGGCGAAGGCGGCUAUCUGGACCGACAUUGACGCUGAGGCGCGAAAGCGUGGGGAGCAAACAGG